ensembl:snRNA U1 U1 spliceosomal RNA
GGGGAGACACCACCAUCUGCAAAGUGAUUUUCCCCGGGUGAGCAUCCUCCCGUGCCUGAUGGGUGUGCUGACCCCACGAUUUCCCAAGCAUGGAAACUUCAAC